UGAGUAACGCGUGGAUAACCUGCCUUAUAGAGGGGGAUAACUAUUGGAAACGAUAGCUAAUACCGCAUAACAACUUAGUACUCAUGUACUAAGUUUAAAAGUAGCAAUUGCUACGCUGUGAGAUGGAUCCGCGUUGUAUUAGCUAGUUGGUAAGGUAACGGCUUACCAAGGCGAUGAUACAUAGCCGACCUGAGAGGGUGAUCGGCCACACUGGGACUGAGACACGGCCCAGACUCCUACGGGAGGCAGCAGUAGGGAAUCUUCGGCAAUGGACGGAAGUCUGACCGAGCAACGCCGCGUGAGUGAAGAAGGUUUUCGGAUCGUAAAACUCUGUUGUAAGAGAAGAACACUGAGGAGAGUGGAAAGCUCCUUAGUUGACGGUAACUUACUAGAAAGUCACGGCUAACUACGUGCCAGCAGCCGCGGUAAUACGUAGGUGGCAAGCGUUGUCCGGAUUUAUUGGGCGUAAAGCGAGCGCAGGCGGAUCAUUAAGUCUGAUGUAAAAGGCAAUGGCUUAACCAUUGUAAGCAUUGGAAACUGGUGACCUUGAGUGCAGUAGAGGAGAGUGGAAUUCCAUGUGUAGCGGUGAAAUGCGUAGAUAUAUGGAGGAACACCGGNGGCGAAAGCNGCUCUCUGG
rnacentral:rRNA from 1 species